GGGGAUGUCAGGCGUCGACAGCCGGACCUUUCUCUAAAUAAGCAAAACGCGCUUAGCUAACACGUAAAACUGGCUAAAAAACAUAAAUGCCAAAUCGGCUACAGCGUUCACUUGGUUAACUCCGAGCUACGCUCCUGUUGUCGCUUAAUAUAGCCACAACCAUCGACGACGCCCAGGUUUCAUAAGCGGCGUUCGGUGUCAUAAUCAUGAGACUAGACUUUAAUCGCGCUUUCCGGUUAAUCUCGAAACAAUAGGAAGAUCGCUAGUAUCGCUUUUCGUUCGUUUUCCUAUGGUACUAGUCAAACAACAAAACGGACUACUUUUGUACACUUAUUUACAGAAACCGGUUGGACAUGGGUUCAAUUCCCAUCAUCUCCACAA
rnacentral:tmRNA from 1 species